ACCAAACAAAAUUAUGCUCGGUCCACCCAAAAGAAUCACUCCCACUGAGGGCGUCAACCAUUGUGUACCCAGGAAAACGCACACAAGAUUUUAUCUCCAUUAAAAUCAAUGUCUCAAAAUUAACCGGGACCAAAUCCAACGGCUGUAGUCUUCCACGCUCCUUCCCCGUCACGCCGCCCCUGGCCAUGGUUAGAUCCCCGCGUCGUCUUCUUUUUUUGAUCUAUUCUUUGCUCGAGCGACCGCGGAAAGAAAGAAGACCAUGCAAACUUCCGCCGCCGCCUCUUGGGUCCCGACGACGGCGAGCUUUUUGGCUUCAAUGACCUCCUCCGGCUCGUCGACGAUGGGCGGAUCUGGUGGCCAGAGUCGCCGGGCGGCGCAAGACGCAAGGCCGCGCAGGCGGGCGUGAGGCCUCUCCCCACACGCGAUCCUCUUUUCCCCUUGCGGCCACCACCAUUCCCAUGGGAUUGGGGGUACGUGAGAUGGAGUCUAAGCGGAGGAAGCGCCUCCGGGAGGAUGCUCGUAUGUGGCCUCGACUCCGCGACAGUAGGUAGCGCAGCUCUCUGACACCCUCACCGCCGUGCAAAAGCUGGCAGUUUGAAUGGCAAGCAAGACUUCUACACUUGCGUAGGAGCUCAAGAACAUCAAGUCAGAACUGCACUUCAUGCAGAGGACAAGCGCGGAUUGCUAGAGGAGAACGAGAGAUCAAAUAGAUGUGACGAUGGAGUUGCCCCCUGAAGAAGAUGGCUUGGUAGCAAUGACGAUUGCUUCUGCAUUGGAGGACCAGAUAAAUUUGACACACUAAUUGCUGCAUUUCGUAUAGUCUGGACUCUCUACCUCUGGAUAUGUGGUCUUUCACUCAUUGUCUGCCUAAAGUCAAGUUUUUGGCAAGCUUCCAAAAUUUGAUCGGUGUGGUACAACCUUUUAAUAAUUUUAUAUCCACCUCAACUUAUGUUUGUCAUAUGCACUGUUACGUGUUUCUGCAUUCAAGCACUCCAUUCUGCGAUCCAAUUGUUAUGGUGCCUGACAUUUUAGACAAUCUUUUGGAUUAUUUCUUUGUGUUUGCAAAAAGAUUAUGGUUUGUGUAAAAUGAUUCGUUUCUGCUAUGAUCCUGGAGAGUAUGACUGUAAGCCACAAGAGCUAUUAGUACCCAGCCAUGAAAUAAUAUUUGGUUGUUUGAUUUGUAUGCCCUGAUAGUAUAUUGCCCAUGGAGUAGCCGGCUAUCGAAUAAUCUUAGUUUGAUUUGUAUUACCUGAUAUCACUGUAGCAUUAGCAUAGGUAAUAUACUCUUUGGUUGUUUAAUUUUUAUUAUCCAAUGUCGUCGUAGUGUUAGCACGGACAAUUUGUGUGAAAUCCUGGCCACUAAUUUGUGUGAGCUCGGCAUGAUUCGCCAUUACCAGAGGGUUGCAUGACCCCCAAGGUAACUAAGUUUUAGUGGUGGUGCUCGUGUCAUAUUAGUUGUGGGUUUAAGUUUGUCAUCUUUGUGAAGACGAGUUGAGCGUCGUAGUGCUGUAUGCUCUUUAUUGCUUGUAUAUUAUGUAAAGAUUGAGUUUCCUUGUGUCUCACAAGGAUAAUUGUGUGCUCCAGCUGCACUCCUGUAUUUGUGUGCAAUCAACAACUUGUUUCUUAACCCUUUCGCUGCCCACUAAAAUUUAUCUGUUUCAGGCAAGAGAUUCCUGCUGCCAUGAGCUGAAUGACUUCUGUCCCAAUCUACCGAAAUUCCUUUGCCUGCACUUUGGAACUCUCAAGUCCUACUUUGAAACAAUACUAGAGCCCGAGCUCAAGAAGUACAUGGCCGACAUACUGUCAGUGCUAGCUUUGACAAUGUCCACUGAAGGAGAAAGGCUGUUCACAUGAAUCUAGAACUGAGACAUUGUUUCUGGAGAGCUUGAAAUAUUGUUUGUUAGGCUCUGAAGGUGAUAUUGGUUCAUGGGAACAUGAAUGGUGAGGUAUGACUAAACUGAAAUGAUAUGUUUCCUACCUCCUUCAAUCAGCAAAGUCUAAAUUUUUCUAAGGAAUUAAAAUGCACUGGUAAUAUUCAAGUAGACUAGGAAUACAAUUUUUAGUAUUUAAGUCUAAGGAAUACAAAUGCGCUGGUAAUAUUCAAGCAGACUAUGAAGUAGGAACUGGCAGAUUUUAUGCCUAUGUGAGUGCAAACAUUGUGAUAUUCUAACUGAAUUGCACAACCCACCAUUUAAGUUGUCUAUUGACUAUUCAUAGUCUGAUGGAAUUGAAGGUUGGUUAUGACAACAUUUGGUACACGAGGAGGGUAAUGACAAUCUAUGCUGUCAUGUCAUAACUCAAACGUGAUGGGAGAAUUUUGUGUUUCAUUUUAUUUUUGAGAGGAUAACUUCAACAAAAUAUGGCAUGUAAAAAUCAACCUGAGAAAUUACACUUGAGUUGGAAAAAAUAAUUACUAGCAAAUAAUCAUCAUAUCAUGGAUUAAACCAAAGACCACUUAAUAUGGACAAUUAUUUAUGUAGGCAUCUUGCCAAAGAGACUUUAUUUUACAUUGGACACAAAAAGGAAUUACUUGGCACGGAGGCAGAGGCAGAGGUUGAUGCUCAGAUGGGUGGAAAUCGCCUCAAGAUUUUUAAGAUAUAUUUUAUCCUGUUCUUGAUAAUCUCGACUGUUCUUUGCUGAUGGGUGGAAAUCGGUUGAUGACAACUUCUGAUGGUGACUCCCAAGAUAAACUCCAAGGCAGGAGCCACCAAAGCUCUGUAUGUCUGACAAGUUUGGUUUAACGGUGGUCACUCAGGUGUCGAGGUUGUCUGCAGUUUCAGUUAAUACUGUCAAAAUGGGUGUUGUGCUGCACUUUCAAAUAAAGCCAAAUUAGUGUUGAAAUGGAAACUCCCUGCCAUUUUCUUUCUCUUGUAUAUGUCAUUUUAUUCUUUACUAUGGCAUUAUACUAGUUAUUAUCUAAUUAUAGACUAACUACGUUGAAAAGAUUCAUCUCGUAAAUUACAGACAAACUGUAUAAUUAA